rnacentral:rRNA from 1 species
UCCGCAUGGAAGGGCCAUCGCUCAACGGAUAAAAGCUACCCCGGGGAUAACAGGCUUAUCUCCCCCAAGAGUUCACAUCGACGGGGAGGUUUGGCACCUCGAUGUCGGCUCAUCGCAUCCUGGGGCUGUAGUCGGUCCCAAGGGUUGGGCUGUUCGCCCAUUAAAGCGGUACGCGAGCUGGGUUCAGAACGUCGUGAGACAGUUCGGUCCCUAUCCGUCGUGGGCGUAGGAAAUUUGAGAGGAGCUGUCCUUAGUACGAGAGGACCGGGAUGGACAUACCUCUGGUGUACCAGUUGUCGCGCCAGCGGCAUAGCUGGGUAGCUAUGUAUGGACGGGAUAAGUGCUGAAAGCAUCUAAGCAUGAAGCCCCCCUCAAGAUGAGAUUUCCCAACUUCGGUUAUAAGAUCCCUCAAAGAUGAUGAGGUUAAUAGGUUCGGGGUGUAAGCGCAGUAAUGUGUGUAGCUGACGAAUACUAAUCGAUCGAAGACUUAAUCAAAUU